UGGGGAAUAUUGCACAAUGGGGGAAACCCUGAUGCAGCGACGCCGCGUGAGCGAAGAAGGUUUUCGAAUCGUAAAGCUUUGUCCUAUGGGAAGAUAAUGACGGUACCAUAGGAGGAAGCCCCGGCUAACUACGUGCCAGCAGCCGCGGUAAUACGUAGGGGGCAAGCGUUGUCCGGAAUCACUGGGCGUAAAGGGUUCGCAGGCGGAAAUGCAAGUCAGUUGUGAAAGGCAGGGGCUCAACCUCUGUAAGCAAUUGAAACUGUAUUUCUUGAGAUGUGGAGAGGGAAGUGGAAUUCCUAGUGUAGCGGUGAAAUGCGUAGAUAUUAGGAAGAAAACCGGUGGCGAAGGCGACUUGCUGGACACAAACUGACGCUGAGGAACGAAAGCGUGGGUAGCAAACAGG
rnacentral:rRNA from 1 species